GGGGCAUGCGCUGCUUACCUGCAGUCGACGGCAGCACGGGUGCUUGCACCUGGUGGCGAGUGGCGAACGGGUGAGUAAUACAUCGGAACAUGUCCUGUAUUGGGGGAUAACCCGGCGAAAGCCGGAUUAAUACCGCAGACGAUCUACGGAAGAAAGCGGGGGACCUUCGGGCCUCGCGCUAUAGGGUUGGCCGAUGGCUGAUUACCUAGUUGGUGGGGUAAAGGCCUACCAAGGCGACCAUCAGUAGCUGGUCUGAGAGGACGACCAGCCACACUGGGACUGAGACACGGCCCAGACUCCUACCGGAAGCAGCACUGGGGAAUUUUGGACAAUGGGCGAAAGCCUGAUCCAGCAAUGCCGCGUGUGUGAAGAAGGCCUUCGGGUUGUAAAGCACUUUUGUCCGGAAAGAAAUCCUGAGGGCUAAUAUCCUUCGGGGAUGACGGUACCGGAAGAAUAAGCACCGGCUAACUACGUGCCAGCAGCCGCGGUAAUACGUAGGGUGCGAGCGUUAAUCGGAAUUACUGGGCGUAAAGCGUGCGCAUGCGGUUUGCUAAGACCGAUGUGAAAUCCCCGGGCUCAACCUGGGAACUGCAUUGGUGACUGGCAGGCUAGAGUAUGGCAGAUGGGGGUAGAAUUCCACGUGUAACAUUGAAAUGCGUAGAGAUGUGGAGGAAUACCGAUGGCGAACGCAGCCCCCUGGGCCAAUACUGACGCUCAUGCACGAAAGCGUGGGGAGCAAACAUGAUUAAAACCCUGGUAAAUACCCUGGUAAGGGGGGGGGGUUAGUG
rnacentral:rRNA from 1 species